AUUCCCUCUGAGACUCAGUUGUACCGGGCUCUGAUGCUUCACAAGGGAGAUCAAGAGCAGGAAGCAGGGGUAGGGGAGAGUUGGUUGCCUAGGAAGAAACUCAUCCCGAUCACUCAGGCAUUAACCACUCCUGGGAAACAUUUUCAGGCCAUGCCGUAGAGAGAUGAGAUGAAGAAUCAAUCAGAUCCAGGCAAUGAAACUGGAAAGAGAAGUCAAGAAGGGCAGAGAAGAAGCAGGAAGAUCGGCAUGGUCAGCAGUAUCCAAGACAGCUGAGAGAGGCCGAGGAAGAGUAUGAGAGAGUAGAGCCUAUUGGACUUCGAUGAGCUCAUUGGACUCCCCCAGUAUGGAAGGGGAAAUUAAUCUCGGGGAAGUGAAGUCAGUAAACCGCUGAUUUUGAUGGGUCAAGAAGAGAGUCGAUGGAGGAGAAGUGAGCAGACAUCUCAUUCAAGGAACUUCCAUCAAUCUGUUUAUAUAUU